CCGAGUCCCCCUCCCCCUGACACCCCUGUCCCGGGGGUGAAGAAUGGGUUGGCGGGUUGUGCUGCGGGGACUCCCAGAGGAUGUGCGAGGCAGAAGAGGAAAGAGAACAAGCCAUUUUGCUCAUCAUCAACAAACCUUGACCAAGGAAGUGUCUGCGUGUGCAAUGUGCCAUCUGAACCCUGGAGGCAUAAGCAGUAUGGUCACUUGUCCCAGCAUUGUUGGGAAGUGAAAAUGUAUCCAUGGAAAGAGAGCAGAAAGAUAAGACUACGCCCCGGGGAUAAUGAAAAAGAGAGGACUUGACCGCUGAGGGAUGGAGUUCCAAGGAAGUCAGUCCUUGAUGGGGCCAAGCAGCAGGGGAAGACGGGCGCUAUCAGGCUGGGGACAGAGCCCAAGCCAAGACCCAGGUGUAUGAAUGGACAGGACCUGAGAUGACCCGGUGGGUCAAACUGUCUGACUGUAGAAGAGGAGCUGGGCAGAGAGCAGAGGUCCAGGGACAGGCCAAGGUUUGGAAUGCCAAGGUUUGGAAUUUAGGCUUGGCCCUGUGGGUAAUGGAGAGCUAUCAGUGGGUUUCAAGCAAAAGGGAGAUACCAAGUGCUGUGGCCAGCCAUGUUUCAGGAAGAUUGUUCUUGUCCACCUUUGUUUAUGUCAACCACAUUUAGAAGUAACAAAUGUCUGAUAGGGGGUCAGGUGCGGUGGCUUGUGCCUAUAGUGCCAGCUACUCAGGAGGCUGAGGCAGGAGGAUCGCUCAAGCCCAGGGAUUCAAGGAUGCUGUGAGCUACGAUCACGUCACUGCACUCCAGCCUGGGAAACAGGGUGAGACCCAGUUUCUAAAACAAACGAACAAACAAAUGUCUGAUGGGGAUGCAUCCUCCCAAUAGAAUACUAUUCA
rnacentral:lncRNA from 10 species